ACGCUCGACACCUACGGGAGGCAGCAGUGGGGAAUAUUGCACAAUGGGGGAAACCCUGAUGCAGCGACGCCGCGUGAGCGAAGAAGUAUUUCGGUAUGUAAAGCUCUAUCAGCAGGGAAGAAACUGACGGUACCUGACUAAGAAGCACCGGCUAAAUACGUGCCAGCAGCCCCGGUAAUCUGAGCGGGCUGGCAAGGC
rnacentral:rRNA from 1 species